UGUAUGGUUAAGUGACUAAGCGUACACGGUGGAUGCCUGGGCAGUCAGAGGCGAUGAAGGACGUACUAACUUGCGAUAAGCGCAGAUAAGGCAGUAAGAGCCGUUUGAGUCUGCGAUUUCCGAAUGGGGAAACCCAACUGCAUAAGCAGUUACUGUUAACUGAAUACAUAGGUUAACAGAGCAAACCGGGGGAACUGAAACAUCUAAGUACCCCGAGGAGAAGAAAUCAACCGAGAUUCCGGUAGUAGCGGCGAGCGAACCUGGAUUAGCCCUUAAGCACUCGGUGAAGUAGGUGAACAAGCUGGAAAGCUUGGCGAUACAGGGUGAUAGCCCCGUAACCGACGCUUCAUCGAGCGUGAAAUCGAGUAGGGCGGGACACGUGAUAUCCUGUCUGAAUAUGGGGGGACCAUCCUCCAAGGCUAAAUACUCCUGACUGACCGAUAGUGAACCAGUACCGUGAGGGAAAGGCGAAAAGAACCCCUGUGAGGGGAGUGAAAUAGAACCUGAAACCGUGUACGUACAAGCAGUAGGAGCACCUUCGUGGUGUGACUGCGUACCUUUUGUAUAAUGGGUCAGCGACUUAUAUUCAGUGGCAAGGUUAACCGUAUAGGGGAGCCGUAGCGAAAGCGAGUCUUAACUGGGCGCUCAGUCUCUGGAUAUAGACCCGAAACCGGGUGAUCUAGCCAUGGGCAGGUUGAAGGUUGAGUAACAUCAACUGGAGGACCGAACCGACUAAUGUUGAAAAAUUAGCGGAUGACUUGUGGCUAGGGGUGAAAGGCCAAUCAAACUCGGAGAUAGCUGGUUCUCCCCGAAAGCUAUUUAGGUAGCGCCUCGGACGAAUACUACUGGGGGUAGAGCACUGUUAAGGCUAGGGGGUCAUCCCGACUUACCAACCCUUUGCAAACUCCGAAUACCAGUAAGUACUAUCCGGGAGACACACGGCGGGUGCUAACGUCCGUCGUGGAGAGGGAAACAACCCAGACCGCCAGCUAAGGUCCCAAAGUAUUGCUAAGUGGGAAACGAUGUGGGAAGGCUCAGACAGCUAGGAUGUUGGCUUAGAAGCAGCCAUCAUUUAAAGAAAGCGUAAUAGCUCACUAGUCGAGUCGGCCUGCGCGGAAGAUGUAACGGGGCUAAGCAAUACACCGAAGCUGCGGCAAUGUCUUUUAGACAUUGGGU
rnacentral:rRNA from 1 species